AUUGAACGCUGGCGGCAGGCCUAACACAUGCAAGUCGAACGGUAGCACAGAGAGCUUGCUCUCGGGUGACGAGUGGCGGACGGGUGAGUAAUGUCUGGGAAACUGCCCGAUGGAGGGGGAUAACUACUGGAAACGGUAGCUAAUACCGCAUAACGUCGCAAGACCAAAGAGGGGGACCUUCGGGCCUCUUGCCAUCGGAUGUGCCCAGAUGGGAUUAGCUAGUAGGUGGGGUAACGGCUCACCUAGGCGACGAUCCCUAGCUGGUCUGAGAGGAUGACCAGCCACACUGGAACUGAGACACGGUCCAGACUCCUACGGGAGGCAGCAGUGGGGAAUAUUGCACAAUGGGCGCAAGCCUGAUGCAGCCAUGCCGCGUGUAUGAAGAAGGCCUUCGGGUUGUAAAGUACUUUCAGCGAGGAGGAAGGCAUUAAGGUUAAUAACCUUGGUGAUUGACGUUACUCGCAGAAGAAGCACCGGCUAACUCCGUGCCAGCAGCCGCGGUAAUACGGAGGGUGCAAGCGUUAAUCGGAAUUACUGGGCGUAAAGCGCACGCAGGCGGUCUGUCAAGUCGGAUGUGAAAUCCCCGGGCUCAACCUGGGAAC
rnacentral:rRNA from 1 species